rnacentral:piRNA from 1 species
UGAAAUGCUUAGAAGUGUUUUGCCAAGUCAC